rnacentral:lncRNA from 1 species
CUCACAGGCCACGCCCCCACCCCCAAGGGUCCAGCCCCGUAGACUCGGGUCCAUUUGCAUUGGCCACGCCCCGUAUUGGCCACGCCCCGUGUUGCCACGCCCAUAUAGACCACGCCCACGACCGUUUUUGCCACGCCCCCUUUGGCCACGCCCACUCCCAUUAGGCCAUGCCCACUCCAUGGGGGCUGGAGCACCACGGUCUGCAGGCCACGCCCACCUAUCACAGGCCACGCCCACUUCUCCCAGGCCACGCCCAUUCCCAUUAGGCCACGCCCACUUCUCCCAGGCCACGCCCAUUCCCAUUAG